UCGUUUGGUACCGUCAAAAGAAGUAGAAACUUCCAUUUUCUUCCCAAACAAAAGCAGUUUACAAUUCAUAGAACCGUCAAUCCUGCACGCGGCAUGGCUGGUUCAGGCUUUCGCCCAUUGACCAAUAUUCCCU
rnacentral:rRNA from 1 species